rnacentral:rRNA from 1 species
CUUGGAUGAAAGGUUUGACGGAUGAGGAGCUGUCUCUUUAGUUGUGUUGAACUUAACGUUUGUGUGAAAAGGCAUUAAUGGUUUAGGGGGACGAUAAGACCCUAUAAAACUUAACAUGUGUGAUGUUAGCUUUUGGAGUUGUUCUGUAAUUAUAAGGUGACUGGGUGUGUUUUGCUGGGGCGGCAUGAAUAUAAUUUGUAACUGUUUUAGGAAAAAAAUAUUGAUUAAUAGAUUUUGGUCCUUUAUUAAGGAGUUAAGAGUAAGUUACUUUAGGGAUAACAG